AAAAAUUCACGCAUUUGCGUUACGUAAAAGGCGAAGAAAAUUCACGCAUGCGCACUGUGUUCUGAUCGUUGGCAUGGCAACCAUUAUCAACGGACGAUUUAAAUUACUUUUAGCAAAGGUUUUGGAAUCGCUUCCGUAGUCCACAUACAUGUUUUCCUGCAGCGUGCGUUUGAGUCACGUUGAAAAGCCGAUUUGCACCAAUUUCGGUCAUAUCCUUGCAACAAAUAUUAUCGCCUAUGUCACCGACUUGACAUGCCAUGCUCUUGACAGACCUCUCACAGUUGGUUACAAAAUAUGGAGAUUGCCCCUUUUGCAGAGCCAAGAUACAAUAUGGAAACUGAAAUAAAAUGCAUAUCAGUAGAUUGAAGAAAGUAUACCCUGCCAAUUAAUACAUCAGUGAUCAAGAGUGCUGUGUGGAUGUGAAUUAUUUCAUUGGAUUUUAUAUGAGAAGAUUAUUUUUCGCACAGAUAUUAAAAUUCAUGUUUUGAUUCUA